rnacentral:lncRNA from 1 species
AACUGUUUCAGAUUUACCCAGCAUGUCUGAUACAUGCGGAAGCCCUGAGAGUGUACUACACCAGACACCGCAUUUGAAGUGCAAAUAUUCCAACAGAAGCUUCAAUGGAUGCCAGCAGGAAAGGAGUUUUUAAAGAAAAGAAAUUCUCCUCUUUUCUCUCCAGGGGAAAAUUGCUUCCUGACAGCUCUGUUUUGAUCUUUGCUGUAGUUCACCUCCACUGACAGACUUCGGGCUAUUACAGUGUAUGAGCUUAUCUGAACUGAAUCUGUUGGACCUUUUGAAGUUCUCCUGGCACUACAUCUACAGCUUGGGCUUGAACUUGCACCCCUUGGAACCAAUGGGAGAUUUACUUUUGCCUUAAUGGGAAAUGUUUGAUUAUUGAAA